rnacentral:lncRNA from 1 species
CUGCAGUAAUAUGAGUGGUCCUUUGAUUUGUGGUGUCAUCGGCUAUUCGCUGCGAGGCUACUGAGUUUGACUGCAUAUUUUCUUGGUCCCUAGCCAUUCGGGUGCUUACUAUGUAUGUUGGCUACAGUAGGUUUAGGUUUGCGGUCAGGAGUAGGAUGCACCUAGAUAGAAUCUAUCAAUCUUGAUAGAAAAAGAAAAAUUCUAUGUGAUUUAUGAGACUGCGUUU